UGGGGAAUCUUGGACAAUGGGCGAAAGCCUGAUCCAGCCAUGCCGCGUGUGUGAAGAAGGUCUUCGGAUUGUAAAGCACUUUUAAGUUGGGAGGAAGGGCAUUUACCUAAUACGUAAGUGUUUUGACGUUACCGACAGAAUAAGCACCGGCUAACUCUGUGCCAGCAGCCGCGGUAAUACAGAGGGUGCAAGCGUUAAUCGGAAUUACUGGGCGUAAAGCGCGCGUAGGUGGUUUGUUAAGUUGGAUGUGAAAUCCCCGGGCUCAACCUGGGAACUGCAUUCAAAACUGACAAGCUAGAGUAUGGUAGAGGGUGGUGGAAUUUCCUGUGUAGCGGUGAAAUGCGUAGAUAUAGGAAGGAACACCAGUGGCGAAGGCGACCACCUGGACUGAUACUGACACUGAGGUGCGAAAGCGUGGGGAGCAAACAGGAUUAGAUACCCGCGUAGUCCCUGAGCGGGCUGGCAAGGCGCAU
rnacentral:rRNA from 1 species